rnacentral:rRNA from 1 species
UACGAAGGUGGCUAGCGUUGUUCGGAAUCACUGGGGGUAAAGCGCACGCAGGCGGAUCGAUAAGUCGGGGGUGAAAGCCCGGGGCUCAACCUCGGAAUUGCCUUCGAUACUGUCGGUCUCGAGUCCGGGAGAGGUGAGUGGAAGUCGUAGUGUAGAGGUGAAAUUCGUAGAUAUUAGGAAGAACACCAGUGGCGAAGGCGGCUCACUGGACCGGUACUGACGCACAGGUGCGAAAGCGUGGGGAGCAAACAGG